GAUUCUUUAAGAAUUGAUAUUUGUGCUUUUAUGAAUAGUUAAAAUGUAUUUAUAUGUUUGUAUUUUUUGUGAACAUCCUGUGAGCACUGUGUAUUUUUAAGUAUAGACUCAAGGUUAAGGUUACGCCUUAAACCUAACGUUGAAAUCUUGGAAAGAUGAUAUUAUCAGUUGUAGCUAAUCUUCCAGCAGCUCCGGAGUUCUAAACCAACUCUGUACCAUCAAAAGGGGAUUUUAUAGAUAUUCUAAAAUCAGAAUAGAAUUAUCAUUUUCGGACCAAGUCCUGGACCAGAAAGUUCAUCUACACCUACAGCUUAAAGCAGUUCCCUACAGAAGCAGCAUUCUACAGUUCUGCUCCAGACAGCUCUAAAGGUUCAUCUACACCUACAGCUUAAAGCAGUUCCCUACAGAAGCAGCAUUCUACAGUUCUGCUCCAGACUGCUCCGUGUUCUGAAGACUCAUCAAUUCCAGCAGUUGAGAAGCUCCCUAAAUCCCCCCACAGAAAGUAAAAACGCUCCUAUAUAUUCCGUAACAAGUUUUAACCAAUAAACACUUUUCAACCCCCA